UUUAUUUCCCAGGUUUUGAUUCGUUAUCAAGUUGAAAGAGGAGUAAUCGUCAUUCCAAAGAGUGUCACAAAGGAGAGGAUCAUUGCAAACUUUGAUAUUUUUGACUUCAAACUUACCCCUGAAGAGAUGAAAACAAUCGAUGGCUGCAACAGAAACUUCAGAUAUGUUCUUGUGACCUGGUCCCUUAAGCACAAGUACUACCCUUUUCAUGACACAGCAUAAAUUUGCAGCGCUGCCCUGUGCUGUUUUUUAUGACACCAACUCACAUGUAGGUAGCAGUGCUUGGCCAUUUAGAAAUUGCUGUAUUUGUAGGCAUGUACCGUAUUUUUCCACAUAUAACCCGCCACCAUGUAUAACCCGCACCCCCAAUUACAACAGCUGGGAAAAAAAUAUAUAUCUGCGGUAAUAACUUCAUGCAACAACGCUUAAGUUUUUGCAAAAACAGUCCGUUCUCGGAUACACGACUCGUCCACAUCAUCGUAUCAUCGGCCAGCAACUCUGCCUCCCCCCACCCCCCCUUUGGCGAUGCUGAUAAAGCUGGAUUCGCACGACGGACGCCAUCGCAGACAAAUCAGUCACGUGACAUCUGACGCAAAUCGGAUCAUUUCGCAGGCGCAUCUAGCAUUCACGCGACAGAGGAUGACAGUGCAGCCGGAGCAGCACUCGCUUGGGCACCGGCGAUUUGGCUAUCAGCCGUAUCGCGAAGCGCUUCGCAUGAACCGAGGGAGUGCCACGGGAAUGGGUGAUGUACGAGUUCGCCGGCGCCGUGUGCAUUAUUCGCUAUACGCAAAAUGCCGACCUGUAAAAAGGAGGGGAAUGGACGACCAUGAUGGAGGGGAGACGGGAUCUUCAAUACGCAGUGGUGGGGAGAGGGUAGGAUUCCCUAGGAGAUAACGAAAAUAAAUGGUAGAGAACUUUGCCUCGAGGUGUGGCACACGGCAGUGCGCGCCGCGCUGCCGUGAAGCCACAUCUUCAAGUAAAAUUCACGUAUAACCAGCACCCCAACUUUACCGCCAACUUUUUAAAAUUUUUGGUGCAGGUUAUACGCGCGAAAAUGCGGUAUACACAGGGACUGUGCAAAAGUUCUGGCUAUAUGACUGUAAACAAGGCUUCAACAUUUUUUGGGAUUAUUACAAGCAGUAAUUUAAUUACUGUGUUCCUCAAUACCAUUACACAACAGGAGCCUCAUUUUCUGUGUGGAUGUUAUUCCAGUGACUACGAUUACAUGAUAAUGAGCUUUUUUUACAACAGCAAGUAAAAAUAAAUAUGAUUUGUUAGUUUUGAAGCCCUCAUGUAGUGAUUACAUACUGGAAUUACCAAUGACUGACAUAAUGUGUGCAUCAAAAUCGUGAACACAUUUCAUUUUUAAAAGAAUGCAGCUACCAUGAGUAGUAACAGAAGUUCUAACUAUCUAAUCACCAGUGCACCGCAUUGACUGUUACUUUUUAAAACCUGCCUUGUCCAAGCUGUGCAAAUGCUGUAAUCCCAAGAAAAUAAACUAAUACGUGCACUGUUCA